rnacentral:rRNA from 1 species
GUCUACAGCCAUACCACCCUGAAGGCGAGAUCUCGUCUGAUCUCGGAAGCUAAGCAGGGUCGGGCCUGGUUAGUACUUGGAUGGGAGAAGUGGUAUAAUUAGCGUCGGUGUGACA